UGCGUAGGCGGAAUAUUAAGUCAGUGGUGAAAUCCUGCGGCUCAACCGUAGAACUGCCAUUGAUACUGAUAUUCUUGAAUGUAGUUGAUGUAGGCGGAAUGUGUAAUGUAGCGGUGAAAUGCUUAGAUAUUACACAGAACACCGAUUGCGAAGGCAGCUUACUAAACUAUGAUUGACGCUGAGGCACGAAAGCGUGGGGAGCGAACAGGAUUAGAUACCCUGGUAGUCC
rnacentral:rRNA from 1 species